rnacentral:rRNA from 1 species
UACGAAGGGGGCUAGCGUUGUUCGGAAUUACUGGGCGUAAAGCGUGCGCAGGCGGCUUCUCAAGUCAGGGGUGAAAGCCCAGAGCUCAACUCUGGAACUGCCUUUGAGACUGAGAGGCUUGAGUACGGGAGAGGUGAGUGGAAUUCCCAGUGUAGAGGUGAAGUUCGUAGAUAUUGGGAAGAACACCGGUGGCGAAGGCGGCUCACUGGCCCGAAACUGACGCUCAUGCACGACAGCGUGGGGAUCAAACAGG